ACUUGAGUGCAGGACAGCAGUCCCUAUCCCGGCUAUUAUUAUAGUCACGUGGCAAAGGAUCCGUUUCCUGCACUUGCACAUUUUAUUGCCCACCCACUAAAUAUAGUUGUAUAAACAUUAUUCCCUUCUUUUUAACAGGUGAAUAUCAAGCAAUAAAGCCAGCGGAAGCAGGCGUAUUUCAAUUUGGCAAAAGAAGAAUCUUGGUCGAGAUUUAUAGCGUAUUCUAAAAGAAAGGUUAUAGGCGCACAUGGGAAGAUUUGAGCCGCAAGUGCUGUUGUUCCCUUAAAUGCAUCGAGAGUUUAUCUGAUUUGGUGCUCUAUCCGAUCUGACAGAUCCAAGCUAAUGUUGCGAAUCAUUGUAUGAGAGAAAGUAGCCAACAAAUAAAUAUGAAUUUUUGAUAUUAAAAA